AUUGAACGCUGGCGGCAGGCUUAACACAUGCAAGUCGAGCGGAAACGAUGGGAGCUUGCUCCCAGGCGUCGAGCGGCGGACGGGUGAGUAACGCGUAGGAAUCUACCCAGUAGAGGGGGAUAGCCCGAGGGAACUCGGAUUAAUACCGCAUACGCCCUAACGGGGGAAAGGCCGGGAUCUUCGGACCGGUCACUAUUGGAUGAGCCUGCGUGAGAUUAGCUUGUUGGUGGGGUAAUGGCCCACCAAGGCGACGAUCUCUAGCUGGUCUGAGAGGAUGAUCAGCCACACUGGGACUGAGACACGGCCCAGACUCCUACGGGAGGCAGCAGUGGGGAAUAUUGGACAAUGGGCGCAAGCCUGAUCCAGCCAUGCCGCGUGUGUGAAGAAGGCCUUAGGGUUGUAAAGCACUUUCAGUAGGGAGGAAGGCCCUGUAGUUAAUAGCUGCGGGGAUUGACGUUACCUACAGAAGCAGCACCGGCUAACUCCGUG
rnacentral:rRNA from 1 species